rnacentral:lncRNA from 1 species
AUAAGUCCGGUUUAGGUACCGGAUUAGGCUUGGUGUGUAUUUGGUUAUUGUAGGCCUGACGUUGGCAUGUAUGUGUUUGAGUGAUUGCUUGUGAAGGGUGGUCGAUAUUAAAGCUAUGCGGUAUCAUUGGUUGGCCGAUCAUGUUCUUUUUUGAUUGUUGGUCGAUCGAUUAAUGAUACUUGCAUAGUCUAAGUGUCUAACACUACAUGAGUAUUGAACUCAGGUGUAUAUAUGGUUAACUAGGGAUUGUUUGUUGACUUGUUUUAAUGCAGGUUCCCGUUACUUGAAGCUAGAUCAUGGCAGGAGGCCAAGUCUAACUUAGUAACGAUUUGCUUAGCCUUAGCUUUUAUUGCAUGCUAGGGCUA